AAUCAAGCGCGAGAAGGGCGUUUGGUGGAUGCCUUGGCAGCAAGAGGCGAUGAAGGACGUGAUACUCUGCGAUAAGCCGCGGUGAGCCGAGAAUAGGCUUUGACCCGCGGAUCUCCGAAUGGGGCAACCCACCUGAUACUCAGUUAUUAUUAGCCGCAAGGUUCUUGAUAAUUGGGUAAAACAGGGACUUAUGACCUGAAUAUAUAGGGUUAUAAGAGCAAACCCGGGGAACUGAAACAUCUAAGUACCCGGAGGAAAGGAAAUCAAUUGAUACUCCCCUAGUAGCGGCGAGCGAACGGGGACCAGCCGAGCCUUUAGAGUGACCGGAACAUGGUGGAAAACAUGGCCGUAGCGGGUGACAGCCCCGUACGGGAAGCUCGAGAGGACGUAUUAAGUAGGGCGGGACACGUGAAAUCCUGUCUGAAGAUCGGGGGACCACCCUCGAAGGCUAAGUACUCCUUGCUGACCGAUAGCGAACCAGUACCGUGAGGGAAAGGUGAAAAGCACCCCGACGAGGGGAGUGAAACAGUACCUGAAACCGAGCGCCUACAAUCAGUCGGAGCUUGACUGGACUCUUAUGACAAUCUGCGAGAGCAGAUGUUAUAAGUGUCCAGUCUUGUGACGGCGUACCUUUUGUAUAAUGGGUCAUCGACUUGGUCUAUCUAGCAAGCUUAAGCCGUUAGGUGUAGGCGCAGCGAAAGCGAGUCUGAAUAGGGCGUUGAGUUAGAUGGAUCAGACCCGAAACCGAGUGAUCUAGGCAUGACCAGGAUGAAGGUUAGGUAACACUAACUGGAGGUCCGAACCCACACCUGUUGAAAAAGGUCGGGAUGAGUUGUGCCUAGGGGUGAAAGGCCAAUCAAACUCGGAGAUAGCUGGUUCUCCGCGAAAUCUAUUUAGGUAGAGCGUCAUCCGAAUACCCCGGGGGGUAGAGCACUGGAUGGGUAAUGGGGCCCCACAGGCUUACUGAUCCUAACCAAACUCCGAAUACCCGGGAGUACUAGAUGGCAGACACACUGCGGAUGCUAACGUCCGUAGUGGAGAGGGAAACAACCCUGACCUACAGCUAAGGCCCCCAAUUCAUGGCUAAGUGGGAAAGCAGGUGAGACGGCCAAAACAACCAGGAGGUUGGCUUAGAAGCAGCCAUCCUUUAAAGAUAGCGUAACAGCUCACUGGUCUAAACAAGCUGUCUUGCGGCGAAGAUGUAACGGGGCUCAAGCCAUGAGCCGAAGCUUAGGAUGCCGUAUGGCAUGGUAGCGGAGCGUAGUGUGACAUAGGUUCAUUCCUCCUUAGUGGGUUCGCCCACAUUGGAGGAGAGAGCUUUACUGUGAAGCCGGGGCGUAAGCCAUCCGGUGGAGUGAUCACUAGCGAGAAUGAUGACAUGAGUAGCGACAAAGAGUGUGAGAGACACUCUCGCCGAAAGUCCAAGGGUUCCUGCUUAAAGCUAAUCUGAGCAGGGUAAGCCGGCCCCUAAGGCGAGGCCGAAAGGCGUAGCCGAUGGGAACCAGGUUAAUAUUCCUGGGCCAGGAGAUGGUGACGGAUCCCGGACGUUGUCGAUCCUUAUCGGAUUGGAUCGGCAGCCAAGGGGUCCCUGGAAAUAGCCCUCCAUGAGACCGUACCCUAAACCGACACAGGUGGACUGGUAGAGAAUACCAAGGCGCUUGAGAGAACGACGUUGAAGGAACUCGGCAAAAUACCUCCGUAAGUUCGCGAGAAGGAGGCCCAGUUUCUACGCAAGUAUUGGCUGGGGGCACAAACCAGGGGGUGGCGACUGUUUACUAAAAACACAGGGCUCUGCGAAGUCGCAAGACGACGUAUAGGGUCUGACGCCUGCCCGGUGCCUGAAGGUUAAAAGGAGGGGUGCAAGCUCCGAAUUGAAGCCCAGGUAAACGGCGGCCGUAACUAUAACGGUCCUAAGGUAGCGAAAUUCCUUGUCGGGUAAGUUCCGACCUGCACGAAUGGCGUAACGACUUCCCCGCUGUCUCCAACGUCGACUCAGCGAAAUUGAAUUGCCUGUCAAGAUGCAGGCUACCCGCGGUUAGACGGAAAGACCCCGUGCACCUUUACUACAGCUUCAGACUGGCAUCAGGCAUGUGAUGUGCAGGAUAGGUGGUAGGCUUUGAAACCGGAACGCCAGUUCCGGUGGAGCCACCCUUGAGAUACCACCCUUCGCCUGCUUGAUGUCUAACCGCGAACCGUUAUCCGGUUCCGGGACCCUCUGUGGCGGGUAGUUUGACUGGGGCGGUCGCCUCCUAAAUCGUAACGGAGGCGCGCGAAGGUUGGCUCAGAGCGGUCGGAAAUCGCUCGUUGAGUGCAAUGGCAGAAGCCAGCCUGACUGCGAGACUGACAAGUCGAGCAGAGUCGAAAGACGGCCAUAGUGAUCCGGUGGUCCCAAGUGGGAGGGCCAUCGCUCAACGGAUAAAAGGUACGCCGGGGAUAACAGGCUGAUACUGCCCAAGAGUCCAUAUCGACGGCAGUGUUUGGCACCUCGAUGUCGGCUCAUCUCAUCCUGGGGCUGGAGCAGGUCCCAAGGGUACGGCUGUUCGCCGUUUAAAGAGGUACGUGAGCUGGGUUUAGAACGUCGUGAGACAGUUCGGUCCCUAUCUGCCGUGGGUGUAGGAUACUUGAGAGGAGUUGCCCCUAGUACGAGAGGACCGGGGUGAACGAUCCACUGGUGGACCUGUUGUUGCGCCAGCAGCAGUGCAGGGUAGCUAUGAUCGGACAGGAUAACCGCUGAAGGCAUCUAAGCGGGAAGCCCCCCUCAAAACAAGGUAUCCCUGAGGGCCGUGGAAGACCACCACGUCGAUAGGCCGGAGAUGUACGCGCAGCAAUGCGCUCAGUUGACCGGUACUAAUGGCCCGAUAGGCUUGAUUUG
rnacentral:rRNA from 1 species